rnacentral:lncRNA from 1 species
UGUAUAUAUAUAUAUAUAUAUAUAUAUAUAUAUAUAUAUAUAUAGAGAGAGAGAGAGAGAGAGAGAGAGAGAGAGAGAGAGUUGAGCUGGAAUACUAUCGGUAGCAAACGGGCUCCGUUGCCACCCAUUUGUUUUCGAUGAUGGAGCCUCCAAAUCAACGAUCGGUACCGUUGAAAAUGACCUACACCACUUGAAGUAUCUAGAAAUCAAAUUUCAUGCUCUUCCGAUAUUGUUCUCUUGUUCAUCAAGUGGGCAUAAAAAUGAACGGCUGAAAAUGAAUAUCCUCUAAAAAGUGAUGAUAGAAUAUUUUGUAAUCAAGAUUGAGAGUAUAGAUCCCGUUCUAAAUAGUUUAAAGAAUUUUCUAACCAAAAUUCAUUUGAUUUGGAUAGCUUUACACCGUUAAACGAGAAAACGUCUUAUAUCGACCAUUAAAAUUACAAAUUUUGAUACCUUUUGAUUAUUAGGUCAAUGAUGCCGAAAAGAUUUGAAAUUUGAUUUCUAGAUACUUCAAGUGAUAUAGAUCAUGUUCAACGGUGUCGAUCGUCGAUUUGAAGGUUCCAUCAUUGAAAAUAAAU